GGGCCGGUGAUGUAACUGGUAACAUAUCACUCUUGGCAGGUGACAUUCGGGGUUCGAUCCCCGGCCGGGUCA
rnacentral:tRNA from 1 species